rnacentral:rRNA from 1 species
CGGCCCAGACUCCUACGGGAGGCAGCAGUGGGGGAUAUUGCACAAUGGAGGAAACUCUGAUGCAGCGACGCCGCGUGGGGGAAGAAGGUCUUCGGAUUGUAAACCUCUGUCCUCAGGGACGAUAAUGACGGUACCUGAGGAGGAAGCUCCGGCUAACUACGUGCCAGCAGCCGCGGUAA